rnacentral:misc_RNA from 1 species
GCGGCUCACCUUAAAUGUAUUAGCUGGAUCUGUCUUUGAGACUUGGUUUGACUUGGCGUAAUAAGUAUUUCGCUAAGGACAUUCUUCGGAGUGGCCUCGUUUCUAGGACGCUUGUCCGCUUUCCAAUACAAGUUCCACCUCGUGGACAUGACUUUUUAUUAUCUGGCCUCAAAUCAGGUAGGACUACCCGCUGAACUUAA